UCCAGGCUCAGGAUGAACGCUGGCGGCGUGCUUAACACAUGCAAGUCGAACAAUGAUCCCAGCUUGCUGGGGGAUUAGUGGCGAACGGGUGAGUAACACGUGAGUAACCUGCCCUUAACUCUGGGAUAAGCCUGGGAAACUGGGUCUAAUACCGGAUAUGACUCCUCAUCGCAUGGUGGGGGGUGGAAAGCUUUAUUGUGGUUUUGGAUGGACUCGCGGCCUAUCAGCUUGUUGGUGAGGUAAUGGCUCACCAAGGCGACGACGGGUAGCCGGCCUGAGAGGGUGACCGGCCACACUGGGACUGAGACACGGCCCAGACUCCUACGGGAGGCAGCAGUGGGGAAUAUUGCACAAUGGGCGAAAGCCUGAUGCAGCGACGCCGCGUGAGGGAUGACGGCCUUCGGGUUGUAAACCUCUUUCAGUAGGGAAGAAGCGAAAGUGACGGUACCUGCAGAAGAAGCGCCGGCA
rnacentral:rRNA from 1 species